rnacentral:rRNA from 1 species
AUACGGAGGGUGCGAGCGUUAAUCGGAAUUACUGGGCGUAAAGCGUACGUAGGCGGUUGGUUAAGUUAGAUGUGAAAGCCCCGGGCUUAACCUGGGAACUGCAUUUAAAACUGGCGAACUCGAGUUGAGUAGAGGGGAGUGGAAUUUCAGGUGUAGCGGUGAAAUGCGUAGAGAUCUGAAGGAACACCAGUGGCGAAGGCGACUCCCUGGACUCGAACUGACGCUGAGGUACGAAAGCGUGGGGAGCAAACAGGAUUAGAAACCCUAGUAGUCC